CAGUCGUGCGAGAAAAGGGGGGCAACCCCCUGAGUAAAGCGGCGCACGGGUGAGUAACACGUAGGUAACCUACCUUCGAGCCCGGGAUAACCUACCGAAAGGUGGGCUAAUACCGGAUAGGACCACAGGGGUGACGGCCUCUGCGGUGAAAGAUGGCCUCUGCUUGCAUGCUAUCACUUGAAGCUGGGCCUGCGCGCCAUUAGCUAGUUGGCGGGGUAAUGGCCCACCAAGGCUAUGAUGGCUAGCUGGUCUGAGAGGAUGGCCAGCCACACUGGGACUGAAACACGGCCCAGACUCCUACGGGAGGCAGCAGUGGGGGAUAUUGCGCAAUGGGCGAAAGCCUGACGCAGCGACGCCGCGUGGGUGAUGAAGGCCUUCGGGUCGUAAAGCCCUGUCGAGGGGGACGAAACCGCGCCGACCCAAUACGUCGGCGUCUUGACGGUACCCCUAAAGGAAGCACCGGCUAACUCCGUGCCAGCAGCCGCGGUAAUACGGAGGGUGCGAGCGUUGUUCGGAAUCACUGGGCGUAAAGCGCGUGUAGGCGGCCCGCUAAGUCUGAUGUGAAAGCCCGGGGCUCACCCCCGGAAGGGCAUUGGAAACUGGCGGACUCGAGUCUCGGAGAGGAGGGUGGAAUUCCUGGUGUAGCGGUGAAAUGCGUAGAUAUCAGGA
rnacentral:rRNA from 1 species